rnacentral:rRNA from 1 species
UAGGGAAUAUUGGACAAUGGGGGCAACCCUGAUCCAGCCAUGCCGCGUGAGUGAAGAAGGCCCUCGGGUUGUAAAGCUCUUUUGUCCGGAAAGAAAAGCUUCGGGUUAAUACCCCGGGGUUCUGACGGUACCGGAAGAAUAAGCACCGGCUAACUUCGUGCCAGCAGCCGCGGUAAUACGAAGGGUGCAAGCGUUACUCGGAAUUACUGGGCGUAAAGCGUGCGUAGGUGGUUGUUUAAGUCUGAUGUGAAAGCCCUGGGCUCAACCUGGGAAUGGCAUUGGAAACUGGGCAGCUAGAGUGCGGUAGAGGGUAGUGGAAUUCCCGGUGUAGCAGUGAAAUGCGUAGAGAUCGGGAGGAACAUCUGUGGCGAAGGCGACUGCCUGGACCAGCACUGACACUGAGGCACGAGAGCGUGGGGAGCAAACA